rnacentral:tRNA from 1 species
AGCGAAGUGGGCAGUGGAAAGCGUGCUGGGCUCAUAACCCAGAGGUCGAUGGAUCGAAACCAUUCUUCGCUA